rnacentral:rRNA from 1 species
GACGAACGCUGGCGGCGUGCCUAAUACAUGCAAGUCGAACGCUUCUUUCCUCCUUACUGCUUGCUCUCAAUUGGAAAGAGUAGUGGCGGACUGGUUAGUAACACGUGGGUAACCUACCCAUCAUAGGGUGAUAACACUUGUAAUCAGGUGCUAAUACCUCAUAACAGUUUAUUCCGCAUGUCAUAAGAGUUAAAGGCUCUUUCGGCUGUCUCUCAUCUAUGUACCCGCGUUGUAUUAGCUAGUUGGGGCGGUAAGGGCCCACCAAGGCCACGUUGCAUAGCAGACGUGAGAGGGUGAGCGGCCAGACGGGGACUGAGACAAGGUCCAGACUCCGACGGGAGGCAGAAGUAGGGGAUAUUCGGCAAUGGACGAAAGUGUGAACGAGCAACGCGGCGUGAGUGAAGAAGGUGUGCGGAUCGUAAAACUCUGUGGUUAGAGAAGAACAAUGACGUAAGUAACUGAACGUGUCCUGACGGUAUCGAAACAGAAAGCCACGGCUAACUACGUG